CCUACGGGAGGCAGCAGUGAGGAAUAUUGGUCAAUGGGCGUAAGCCUGAACCAGCCAAGUCGCGUGAGGGAUGAAGGUUCUAUGGAUCGUAAACCUCUUUUAUAAGGGAAUAAAGGGCGGGACGUGUCCCGUUUUGUAUGUACCUUAUGAAUAAGGAUCGGCUAACUCCGUGCCAGCAGCCGCGGUAAUACGGAGGAUCCGAGCGUUAUCCGGAUUUAUUGGGUUUAAAGGGUGCGUAGGCGGCCUUUUAAGUCAGCGGUGAAAGUCUGUGGCUCAACCAUAGAAUUGCCGUUGAAACUGGGAGGCUUGAGUAUGUUUGAGGCAGGCGGAAUGCGUGGUGUAGCGGUGAAAUGCUUAGAUAUUACGCAGAACCCCGAUUGCGAAGGCAGCCUGCUAAGCCAUGACUGACGCUGAUGCACGAAAGCGUGGGGAUCAAACAGGAUUAGAUACCCGAGUAGUC
rnacentral:rRNA from 1 species